ACGGGAGGCAGCAGUGGGGAAUAUUGCACAAUGGGGGGAACCCUGAUGCAGCAACGCCGCGUGAGUGAAGAAGUAUUUCGGUAUGUAAAGCUCUAUCAGCAGGGAAGAUAAUGACGGUACCUGACUAAGAAGCUCCGGCUAAAUACGUGCCAGCAGCCGCGGUAAUACGUAUGGAGCAAGCGUUAUCCGGAUUUACUGGGUGUAAAGGGUGCGUAGGUGGCAUUGCAAGUCAGAUGUGAAAUACCGGGGCUCAACCCCGGGGCUGCAUUUGAAACUGCAAAGCUAGAGUGCAGGAGGGGCAGGCGGAAUUCCUAGUGUAGCGGUGAAAUGCGUAGAUAUUAGGAGGAACACCGGUGGCGAAGGCGGCCUGCUGGACUGAAACUGACACUGAGGCACGAAAGCGUGGGGAGCAAACAGGAUUAGAUACCCUGGUA
rnacentral:rRNA from 1 species